rnacentral:rRNA from 1 species
UUCUUCGGAACUAGAGACCGGCGCACGGGUGCGUAACGCGUAUGCAAUCUACCUUUUACAGAGGGAUAGCCCAGAGAAAUUUGGAUUAAUACCUCAUAGUAUUAUGAAAUGGCAUCAUUUUAUAAUUAAAGUCACAACGGUAAAAGAUGAGCAUGCGUCCCAUUAGCUAGUUGGUAAGGUAACGGCUUACCAAGGCUACGAUGGGUAGGGGUCCUGAGAGGGAGAUCCCCCACACUGGUACUGAGACACGGACCAGACUCCUACGGGAGGCAGCAGUGAGGAAUAUUGGACAAUGGGCGCAAGCCUGAUCCAGCCAUGCCGCGUGCAGGAUGACGGUCCUAUGGAUUGUAAACUGCUUUUAUACGAGAAGAAACACUACUUCGUGAAGUAGCUUGACGGUAUCGUAAGAAUAAGGAUCGGCUAACUCCGUGCCAGCAGCCGCGGUAAUACGGAGGAUCCAAGCGUUAUCCGGAAUCAUUGGGUUUAAAGGGUCCGUAGGCGGUUUAAUAAGUCAGUGGUGAAAGCCCAUCGCUCAACGGUGGAACGGCCAUUGAUACUGUUAGACUUGAAUUAUUAGGAAGUAACUAGAAUAUGUAGUGUAGCGGUGAAAUGCUUAGAGAUUACAUGGAAUACCAAUUGCGAAGGCAGGUUACUACUAAUGGAUUGACGCUGAUGGACGAAAGCGUGGGUAGCGAACAGGAUUAGAUACCCUGGUAGUCCACGCCGUAAACGAUGGAUACUAGCUGUUGGGAGCAAUCUCAGUGGCUAAGCGAAAGUGAUAAGAUCCCAC